rnacentral:rRNA from 1 species
GACGAACGCUGGCGGCGCGCUUAACACAUGCAAGUCGAGCGAGAACCAGGCCCUUCGGGCCUGGGGACAGCGGCGAACGGGUGAGUAACACGUGGGUAAUCUGCCCUCGGUUCCGGAAUAGCCCGGGGAAACCCGGAUUAAUGCCGGAUAGCCUCUUGAGCUUUCGGGCUCUCGAGAAAAGGUAGCUUUGGCCUCUGACCGAGGAUGAGCCCGCGGCGGAUUAGCUUGUUGGCGGGGUAACGGCCCACCAAGGCAACGAUCCGUAGCUGGUCUGAGAGGACGAUCAGCCACACUGGGACUGAGACACGGCCCAGACUCCUACGGGAGGCAGCAGUGGGGAAUCUUGCGCAAUGGGCGAAAGCCUGACGCAGCGACGCCGCGUGGGGGAAGAAGGCCUUCGGUUG